rnacentral:snRNA from 1 species
UUGCUUACCUGGCAGGGGAGCUAUCACAAUCACAAAGGUGGUUUUCCCAGGGCAAGGCUCAUCCAUUAUACUCCGGAUGUGCUGACCCCUGCCAUUUCCCCAAAUAUGGCAAACCCAACUGCAUAGUUUGUAGUAUGCAUGUGUUCAUGCUCUCC